AGAACGAACGCUGGCGGCAGGCUUAACACAUGCAAGUCGAACGCUCGUAGCAAUACGGGAGUGGCAGACGGGUGAGUAACGCGUGGGAACAUACCCUCCGGUUCGGAAUAGCUCAGGGAAACUUGGAUUAAUACCGGAUACGGCUGAGAGGCGAAAGAUUUAUCGCCGGAGGAUUGGCCCGCGUUCGAUUAGCUUGCUGGUGAGGUAACGGCUCACCAAGGCGAUGAUCGAUAGCUGGUCUGAGAGGAUGAUCAGCCACAUUGGGACUGAGACACGGCCCAAACUCCUACGGGAGGCAGCAGUGGGGAAUAUUGGACAAUGGGCGCAAGCCUGAUCCAGCCAUGCCGCGUGAGUGAUGACGGCCUUAGGGUUGUAAAGCUCUUUCGCUCGGGACGAUAAUGACGGUACCGAGAUAAGAAGCCCCGGCUAACUUCGCGCCAGCAGCCGC
rnacentral:rRNA from 1 species